CGACCAUUUGUCUAUCUGUUGUUUAUAUUUAAAUUAUAUGCAGCGAUAUUUAUCGCUCACAUACACGCAGAAUCCACGCAAUACGAAAAAUAAGCCUCGGGUGUCGGAAAUCAUCUUCGUAAGAAGUUUCCGAAUGCGCCUACUUUUGCUAGAUGUCCGAGUGUGCCUUCCUUGUUUAUGAGUGUUUGGAAAUAGAUAUGCGUGCAGGAAAAAAUAGAAUAAAAACUGUAUGUAAGUGACCACUAAAGAUGCAAUUUCAAACAAACCGAGAACCGUAAAUACAUUGCGAUAAAUGUUUACAACACAGUAUGAAAUAUAUAGAGCUUCAACCAUCUUCUCCAAGAAGCUAGACCUUACCUUUGUUUGAAAAUUCAUCUGUGGCUAUAGUUGAAACUUGUAUUAAAGAUGAAGCUAGUGGUGGGGUGAAUCAACAUGAGAAUCUCCAUUUGACAAAUAUUAUUACCCAAAGUUGUCGCAUCCUUGAGAAACUAUAGAAGAAAGGUUUGCCUAUAAACAGUGCAUUUUUGGUGUCAUUGAUGAAGGGGUGUUUUUUAUUUCACAUCAACUGCAUCACAACUUUGACAGUUUGGCCAUCUUCUGUUUUGAAAUGUGAAAUUAUAACCUGCCUUAAUUUUACAACAAUAUUCUUCCAAUUCGCACUUUUCCACAAUUAUGGAACACGUAAUUUAUAUAUUGCUGAUUUUUUGCCUUAAUUAAGUUAUAAAAUGGAACAUGAUAUCCAUAAUAGCAUUUUCAAAGAACAGACCAUGACUAAUGUCUGUCAAAGGAAAAAAUAUGAAUGAAACAGAGCGAGUUGUAGUUAAUAGAGAGGAAAGUGUUAUUUUAAAUAUAUGAACAUGUCUGUUGUGGGUUUUCAACUCUUUGCUACCUACUGUAGGAAUCAAAAUGCACAAAAAAGUCAACCUUUUUUUUUAUUAGUUUAUUGUCAUUAUUCACAUUGUAUAAUCCUUAAUCACCAUGGAUUUCAAAAGAAAUUAAAUAACUAACAUAGUAAAA